rnacentral:rRNA from 1 species
AGUGAACGCUGGCGGUAGGCCUAACACAUGCAAGUCGAACGGCAGCACAGUAAGAGCUUGCUCUUACGGGUGGCGAGUGGCGGACGGGUGAGGAAUACAUCGGAAUCUACUUUUUCGUGGGGGAUAACGUAGGGAAACUUACGCUAAUACCGCAUACGACCUACGGGUGAAAGCAGGGGAUCUUCGGACCUUGCGCGAUUGAAUGAGCCGAUGUCGGAUUAGCUAGUUGGCGGGGUAAAGGCCCACCAAGGCGACGAUCCGUAGCUGGUCUGAGAGGAUGAUCAGCCACACUGGAACUGAGACACGGUCCAGACUCCGACGGGAGGCAGCAGUGGGGAAUAUUGGACAAUGGGCGCAAGCCUGAUCCAGCCAUACCGCGUGGGUGUAGAAGGCCUUCGGGUUGUAAAGCCCUUUUGUUGGGAAAGAAAAGCAGCAGGUUAAUACCCCGCUGUUCUGACGGUACCCAAAGAAUAAGCACCGGCUAACUUCGUG